AUUAAUAAAAAUUUGAUAUAAGUUCUAUUUUUGAAAAACUAAAACUAAAACAUGACCGGUAAAGUUUAAUGAUUUAGAAAAAAAAAUAAAGCUAAGAUCAACCAAUCACUCUCAAUAAUCAUGAGAACUAUAAUCAUUCUACAAGCAUUUUUUACGUUUGUUUUUUCUUUUAUUUUUUAUUUGUAUGGGUCCGGUUUGUUUGAAGUGAGGUUUUUACUGGUUUUGGUCCUUUUGGAUAAUAUCAGAUCAUCUUUUUACUCUCGCACCUUCUAUUUUUUAAGUGCCCGGUAAUAUCAGAUAAUGUUAGAUAUAUUACUGAUUCAUUAUUAUUUUUAUUAGAUAAAUUAUAUUUUUUCUGUUUCAUAAAAAUAUCAAUCUGUCUUUUUAUUUUAUUUAGAAAAAUGUUUUUUUUAUUAUUCUACAUUUUCAAUAAACAGUUCAUAUUAAAUCACUUUUUUAUUUUUUUUAAAUAACCAAUAGAUGUUUAAUUAAAUUAUUUUCAUUUAAACAAUCAUACAUUAAUACAUUUCAUUGUUUUUUUAAUAUGAAUGAAAUGUGUAAGUAAUACUUUUUAUAAAAUGGAAGGAGUAAAUCUUUCUCAAAGAUCCGAUACUCAUGUUUCCGAAAAUAACAUAUUCACCACGUGGGUCGACAUGAAGUGACCUUAUUGAAUUAAGCUUCUCUCUCUUUUUUUUUGAGAAAGGGCAAAUCCAUAAAAUCCUUU
rnacentral:lncRNA from 1 species